rnacentral:rRNA from 1 species
UACGAAGGUGGCAAGCGUUGUUCGGAUUUACUGGGCGUAAAGGGAGCGUAGGCGGUUGGAUAAGCCCUCCGUGAAAUCUCCAGGCUUAACCUGGAAAGUGCAGAGGGGACUGUUCAGCUAGAGGAUGGGAGAGGAGCGCGGAAUUCCCGGUGUAGCGGUGAAAUGCGUAGAGAUCGGGAGGAAGGCCGGUGGCGAAGGCGGCCAUCUGGACCAGCACUGACGCUGAGGCACGACAGCGUGGGGAGCAAACAGG